rnacentral:misc_RNA from 1 species
AGCAGCCGCGGUAAUUCCAGCUCCAAUAGCGUAUAUUAAAGUUGUUGCAGUUAAAAAGCUCGUAGUUGAAUUUCGGGAUCAAUUAAUUGGUCGUGCCUCUGGUACGUACUGAUUUUAUUGGUUUCUCCUUCUGACGAACCAUGAUGUCAUUAAUUUGGUGUCGUGGAGAAUCAGGACUGUUACUUUGAAAAAUUAGAGUGUUUAAAGCAAGCUAACGCUUGAAUACAUUAGCAUGGAAUAAUGAAAUAGGACGUUUGAUCCUAUUUUGUUGGUUUCUAGGAUCGACGUAAUGAUUAAUAGGGAUAGUUGGGGGCAUUAGUAUUCAAUUGUCAGAGGUGAAAUUCUUGGAUUUAUUGAAGACUAACUACUGCGAAAGCAUUUGCCAAGGAUGUUUUCAUUAAUCAAGAACGAAAGUUAGGGGAUCGAAGACGAUCAGAUACCGUCGUAGUCUUAACCAUAAACUAUGCCGACUAGGGAUCGGAUGAUGUUAAUUUUUUAAUGUACUCAUUCGGCGCCUUAA